rnacentral:rRNA from 1 species
CCUACGGGAGGCAGCAGUGGGGAAUAUUGGGCAAUGGGCGCAAGCCUGACCCAGCAACGCCGCGUGAAGGAAGAAGGCUUUCGGGUUGUAAACUUCUUUUGUCAGGGAAGAGUAGAAGACGGUACCUGACGAAUAAGCCACGGCUAACUACGUGCCAGCAGCGUCGGUAAUACGUAGGUGGCAAGCGUUGUACGGAUUUACUGGGUGUAAAGGGCGUGUAGCCGGGUUGACAAGUCAGAUGUGAAAUCCUGCGGCUUAACCGCAGAACUGCAUUUGAAACUGGUGAUCUUGAGUACUGGAGAGGCAGACGGAAUUCCUAGUGUAGCGGUGAAAUGCGUAGAUAUUAGGAGGAACACCAGUGGCGAAGGCGGUCUGCUGGACAGCAACUGACGGUGAGGCGCGAAAGCGUGGGGAGCAAACAGGAUUAGAUACCCGAGUAGUC